rnacentral:misc_RNA from 1 species
UCUCUGCUUACGACGGCAGUUUCACUAGAGUUCCCAGCGUUACCUGAUGGCAACUAGUGAUAGGGGUUGCGCUCGUUGCGGGACUUAACCCAACACCUCACGACACGAGCUGACGACAGCCAUGCAGCACCUGUGUUCCCGUUCCCUUUCGGGCACAGCCCCGUUUCCGGGGCCUCCAGGACAUGUCAAGGGUAGGUAAGGUUUUUCGCGUUGCAUCGAAUUAAUCCACAUAAUCCACCGCUUGUGCGGGUCCCCGUCAAUUCCUUUGAGUUUUAGCCUUGCGGCCGUACUCCCCAGGCGGGGCACUUAAUGCGUUAGCUUCGGCACGGAGGGAGUCGACACCCCCCACACCUAGUGCCCAUCGUUUACGGCGUGGACUAC